GUAAUUUCUUAGGAAUUUCACUUUGAUCUUGCAGGAAUUUAUCGUAUUAUCAGCAUUUCUAAACAUUAGAAAAUCGGAAGCAAUGGCCCACUGUAGAGAUGGAUCCACUCAUGCCAUUUCCUGCUCAGCUGGUGUCCAGAAUGGAUGGAGCCUCAAUCCAUCGAACUCACAAAAAUGGUUGCCCUAGAACCAUUUUAUGGAGGAAAAAAUCACCUGUGACUACUACUGCAGGCAUUUGAAUGGAUCACGCCUUUCAGUGGAGAUGAGACAUCUCUCUUGUUUAUGAAAGCCAGGGAGAAAUGGAGACUGGGAGCUUGAAAGUGCUCCAUCUUGGGAUGACCUGAGGUCUUGAAUACAGCUGCAACUGGAAGCAAGUUUGGAGAUGCAAAAACAGCUUCUGAGGAAGAGAAUGCUUGAGACUGAUGCACUGAAGAAAGAACAAGAAGUCAGAAGCCAGAGAUAUGAGCUCAGGAGUACAUCAGAAAAUGACUGUUAGAUGGAAAUGUAAUGGAGAGCUGUGAAUUUCAGUGAAAAUACUGAAGGGAAGAAGACGACAAAUUUCAAAAGAGCAAAUAGACAAAUGCCAAAAACAAGAACAAAACCAAAAAGCAUGGUGGGAAAUACGCAUACUAGAAAAGAAAAAUUGAGGAUCCUCCUUCUUAUCCCAAAAGGAGAAGAGAGGGGACAAAAAGGAAGGAGAGACCUUCUCCCCUGUUGCACACAGCAGGGCCAUGGGAUGCCGCUGGAUGCUGGUGAUUCCAUUUAUGCCAUCUGGCACAGUGCCCCACAUUACCCUCAGGUAACCAGCCCCACUGUCACCAUUCCUCACUUGCUACUCCAGAACAAGUUCCUGAUAAUGUUUAAGCAUGUUUAUAGACUUGACUCCAUAAUGCCCUGUUCUAGCUUUGUUUCUCUUUUCCUCUUUAAUCGUUUCAUUUGCUAUAUUGUUUGCCUUCUGACUCUACACUUUGCCACUGAGUUUUCAGCCUUUCAGCCUAGAGUUCCUAUUCUACUCUUUUCCUUCACUCAACUAUUCCAUUGCCUCAGAUAUAUUUUUCUUUUGUCUCCCCCUUCACUUCUUUUCCCUAAGAUUUACAAGCCCAUCUGUAGUCUUUGUUCAGUUAUCUGGUGUUGAGCAAGACUGAUGAUGUUUCAUUAAUCAUAUCCACUGGUCCUAGCAGUUACUCUUGCUAUUGCAUCCUUUCCUAUCUCUUAAUUUUUUCCUCUUGAAACAUGAAUACCAUUACUUGUACUUUACACUUUUUUUUACCUCUUGAGUGAGGCAAGGAAACAUGCUUCUCUGCUCCCAGAAAUGCCUCUCUCCUUUGUAGUAAUAUUCACUUUUUCUAGACUCUCUACAAUUGUUAUUUUUGUAGUGCUAAGAGGGAAAAGCAGAGCCUAUCUCAGUACUGUCAUUCAUGGAUACUUUUCUUGAUUGUCCUUUCUUUCAAGGAUCUGUACUAAGAUAUCCACUGUACUUGCAAAGAACUGACAUUCCUGUCUCAUCCCAUUCUAUUGCAGAAUUAUGGAAUUAUCAACUACUUCACAGAUUAUACAGUGCUAAGUUUGUAAUUCUCAUCAUUUCUCAUUUCUUCUAAAUCUGCACAAUUAUUUGUAAUAAAAAUCAACCUUGACACUGCAAGGUAGUCACCAUAUGUAUUCAUAUUAAAUUCGCAUUUCAGUUAUUGGAAGACAUGCCUGCCAGCUGAUCUUAAUGCAAUAAUUUAUCACUUUUUAUUAUAAUAAUACCUCAGGAUUCUUACAAAAGUCACUGUGCUGAACUGAUGAGCUAGGGAAGGAAGAAAUGGCCAGAAGUCCAGAAUGCCAACCUCCUCUGUAAAUUAGGACUGAUCUUUUUCACAUUGCUAAACUGACUGCUGCACUAGCCAUGUGGCUGAGUGACGACAGAACUUGUUCAAGUAGGCAAAUAUUCAGUCAGUUCUGUAUUAUAUGAGCUAGAAAGACAUUACAAAGACAUUGAGUGCAUCUACAAGGCUCUAUCAUUCUCUGUCUUAACUUUACCUACUAUGAUCUCUACCUUCUUCCCAGCUCUCUCUAGAAGCUGAACAUUUCAAAGUCUUCCAUGUAGCCUGUUUAGCAGGCUUUCUCACACAUAGUUCUGGCUACAUAAAAAUAUGUGUUAAUUACUAACAAGCGUGUCAGUAUAACCAUUACACAAGAAAACAUAAAAAUGGUAAAACAAACAAACAAAAAAAAAAACCAUCCAGAUUUUCAAUUUAGUCUAUUUCAAGAAUAGAAAUAUUAUUCAAAAUUUACCUACUACAAAACAUUACUUCAUAUUAAUAUCAAUGAAUCAUUCUAAAAUAAAAAUAUAAUUAUAUAAGAACAGUGGAUCAUUCAGUUAGACUACAUGCAAUAAUAAACAACAAAGACCACAAAUAUGGUGGGACUAACUUGCCAAGUUGGCAGAAUAUUAUAUGUAAGCAUCCAAAAAGUGAAAGUGAUGUUUUCCGCUCUCUUUCCAUCUUCUGUUCUAACUGGGUGGUCCCAUAUCAUGACCCUGACAGCCUACACUGCUCAUUUGGGUAAGAGCAGGCAUGUCCGACUCGCAGCCAGCAUGCAGCCUGGCACAGCUGGCAAGGUCGCCUGGCCUCUGUCCUGUGAAACCUGUCCUCCACUGCUGCUGCAGCUCUGUCCCACUGCAUGGCCUGGCCCAGACACAGGAGUGCACCCAUCACUCAGCAACAACAAAACACCAGUGACCUAUUAAAACUGUCUGAGCUGAGACCAGGACAUGGGGAGGGCACAGUGCAGUGCUGACUCAAAUUAUAACAAAUAAUUGUAUGCAUUUUGGUUAGCUGGCUAAACACGGUCUUGUGAACAGCAAAAAAGUAUGCAGCCCUGCUUUCUGUUUUGAUAAAGGAACUUGAGAACAGGUUUUAAGAUAGCAAAAAAAAAAACCCCAUAUUUUUUAAUGUAUUUGUAACUCCAUUUUCAGACUACCUAAAUACAUUACCUCUGACUUUUCACAUGGAGUGUAUAAAGUUGCAAUCAGACAUUCAACUCAAAAAUCUGACCAUGUUGCUUUAUUUUUAUGAGACCUAUCCUGUCAGAUAAAACCAUCCCUCUCUUCACAAUAGCACCAUACUCAUGUCAUUGCUUUUUGGCAGUAUGUAUAUUUGUGAACAACUAUUUCCAAGGAUGAAAUACAGGAAGAAUAAUACUUCACCAAAAAAUCUGUGAUGAACACCUUGAGAACUCACCAAGAAUAGCAGUCACUACCAUCAAACCAGACUGAUGCAUUAAUUUAAAAAUCAGUGCCACAUAUCCUGUUUGUUCUGUUUUUGUUGCAUUCUUUGUUUUAAUAAAAAUAUUUA
ensembl:lncRNA